GCACCUCUUAAUAAAAGGAAUUUAAGCCAUCCAAUCGUGCAGGCUGCAUGGAAGUCGCAUUUACCUUUGCUGUGAACAUCAUGAACACAUACACUAUUUGAAGGUUCAUGUUUACUUAGCAGUGGUGUUGUUGUGGCGUGUUGUUGCAGCCAAUGGUGGUGAAAGAUAUCUGCAUCAAGUUGCUGUUCCUUGUGCAUCCAAGGUGCUGGUUUUGUGCUGCAGAAGUGACAUCCAAUAUUGUGUUUAAUUGCUACUUGUGUCUUUGCAGUUUACCUUUAUAUAUUGAGAAG